AGAUUAAGCCAUGCAUGUCUAAGUAUAAACGAUUUAAUCGUGAAACCGCGAAUGGCUCAUUAUAACAGCUAUAAUUUACUUGAUCUUGACACAAUCCUACUUGGAUAACUGUGGUAAUUCUAGAGCUAAUACAUGCAUUAAAGCUCUGACCUCACGGGAAGAGUGCAUUUAUUAGAACAAAACCAAGCGGCUUCGGCUGUUUCUGGUUGACUCAUAGUAACUGAGCUGAUCGCAUGGUCUUGCACCGGCGACGUGUCUUUCAAGUAUCUGCCGUAUCAACUUUCGAUGGUAGUGUAUCUGACUACCAUGGUGAUCACGCGUAACGGAGAAUAAGGGUUCGGCUCCGGAGAGUUCGCCUGAGAAAUCGCGAACACAUCUAAGGAAGGCAGCAGGCGCGAAAAUUACCCACUCUCAGCACGAGGAGGUAGUGACGAAAAAUAACGAGACCGUUCUCUUAUGAGGCCGGUCAUCGGAAUGGGUACAAUUUAAACCCUUAAC
rnacentral:rRNA from 1 species